CAGUCGAACGGUAGAGGGGGCAACCCCUCGAGAGUGGCGAACGGGUGAGUAAUAUAUCGGAACGUGCCCAGUCGUGGGGGAUAACGUAGCGAAAGUUACGCUAAUACCGCAUACGAUCUACGGAUGAAAGCGGGGGACCGUAAGGCCUCGCGCGAUUGGAGCGGCCGAUAUCAGAUUAGGUAGUUGGUGGGGUAAAGGCUCACCAAGCCAACGAUCUGUAGCUGGUCUGAGAGGACGACCAGCCACACUGGAACUGAGACACGGUCCAGACUCCUACGGGAGGCAGCAGUGGGGAAUUUUGGACAAUGGACGCAAGUCUGAUCCAGCCAUUCCGCGUGCAGGAUAAAGGCCCUCGGGUUGUAAACUGCUUUUGUACGGAGCGAAAAGGUUUCCAUUAAUACUGGGAGCUCAUGACGGUACCGUAAGAAUAAGCACCGGCUAACUACGUGCCAGCAGCCGCGGUAAUACGUAGGGUGCAAGCGUUAAUCGGAAUUACUGGGCGUAAAGCGUGCGCAGGCGGUUAUGUAAGACAGAGGUGAAAUCCCCGGGCUCAACCUGGGAACUGCCUUUGUGACUGCAUAGCUAGAGUACGGUAGAGGGGGAUGGAAUUCCGCGUGUAGCAGUGAAAUGCGUAGAUAUGCGGAGGAACACCGAUGGCGAAGGCAAUCCCCUGGACCUGUACUGACGCUCAUGCACGAAAGCGUGGGGAGCAAACAGGAUUAGAUACCCUGGUAGUCCACGCCCUAAACGAUGUCAACUGGUUGUUGGGUCUUCACUGACUCAGUAACGAAGCUAACGCGUGAAGUUGACCGCCUGGGGAGUACGGGCCGCAAGGGUUGAAACUCAAAGGAAUUGACGG
rnacentral:rRNA from 1 species